rnacentral:misc_RNA from 1 species
CGUCAGUUUCGAUGCAUAUGAUUACCUUUUUACUGAUGCAUGUUGUCUUAAAUUUCCUGAAUUUGGUUUCUUUUGUCAACUAAUGAGAGAAACUUUACAAAAGAAAGUGUCUAGAAGUCCUUGGAAUAGCAGGUUUUAUGUUUUAUUUUGUUGGCAAAAUUCUCCUCUCCUGCUAGCUUCUCUUAUGCUUCGUUAGCUGAUAUAUUAGCCCCAUUCUAUUGUUAUGUUUUCUACUCCAAUGGUGCAUGGUCUAUAUGGAUCAAAUUUUGCCAAUGUGAUUAUAGGCCCUUUAUUAUUAUUCUUAUUGCAUUAGAUUUUGAUUCUGCAUCAUUUAUUUAUAUAAUAAAAAGUUAAAACUCAGUUUAGUGGCAACAGGUUCAACAUUUUGAUUUGUUUGGAAACUCGAACUUUGCUGUGAGAUCUUAUGUU